rnacentral:rRNA from 1 species
CCAGACUCCUACGGGAGGCAGCAGUGAGGAAUAUUGGUCAAUGGCCGAGAGGCUGAACCAGCCAAGUCGCGUGAGGGAAGACGGCCCUACGGGUUGUAGACCUCUUUUGUCGGGGAGCAAAGCGAGUCACGUGUGACUCAUUGAGAGUACCCGAAGAAAAAGCAUCGGCUAACUCCGUGCCAGCAGCCGCGGUAAUACGGAGGAUGCGAGCGUUAUCCGGAUUUAUUGGGUUUAAAGGGUGCGCAGGCGGAGGUGCAAGUCAGCGGUCAAAUUGCGGGGCUCAACCCCGUACUGCCGUUGAAACUGGCGUUCUUGAGUGAGCGAGAAGUAUGCGGAAUGCGUGGUGUAGCGGUGAAAUGCAUAGAUAUCACGCAGAACUCCGAUUGCGAAGGCAGCAUACCGGCGCUCAACUGACGCUCAUGCACGAAAGCGUGGGUAUCGAACAGGAUUAGAUACCCUAGUA